rnacentral:rRNA from 1 species
UACGUAGGGCGCAAGCGUUGUCCGGAAUUAUUGGGCGUAAAGAGCUCGUAGGUGGCUUGUCACGUCGGGUGUGAAAGCUUGGGGCUUAACUCCAGGUCUGCAUUCGAUACGGGGCUGGCUAGAGGUAGGUAGGGGGAGAACGGAAUUCCUGGUGUAGCGGUGAAAUGCGCAGAUAUCAGGAGGAACACCGGUGGCGAAGGCGGUUCUCUGGGCCUUACCUGACGCUGAGGAGCGAAAGCGUGGGGAGCGAACAGG